CCCCAAUAUAGUCUCCACCGCUUUCCCCAACCCUCCCCUGUCACUGCCUUCAGUCAUCAAUUUGCUACCCUCACCGAAGCUGUUUCCCCCUCUCUUUCUUUUCUCUAAUUUACCAAAUCCUUCUCUCUACAACGAUGAAGAACUUAUUAGGUCCCUUAAAAUCAGCCCGACUUCUCACAAAAAGCUUUCCUCCCAUUGUAUUGCGUCCUGCUACCGUCUUUUCGGAGUCGCUGCCUUGCAGUUCGACGUCAAGAACAUGUUUACUGUGAUUGGACCAGUCUUUCUCCAAAAGCUUUACCGAGAGAGUAGGAGAGAAAGAUCUAUGGGAGGCCCUUCACUACUGUCAGACCAGUCCCCUCUGAUACUGAUGAAGAGAUUGCUGCAUCAAUUGCUGAUCUGAUACAACCGGAUGAAGUAUGGAGUCAAAUGUUUUGUCUAUGAGAUUGUUCUGGUCAUAGUGACAUUACUAUGUAGUUAUAGUGGGGCAGAGAUUAGAAGGAAUCUGCUAGAAAGUUCUCCUCUUUGCUAGAUUACCAAAUCUAAAAGAAAAUACUAUUGCUUUUACCUCCUAUGUGCCACACCACCUGAGGGAGGAUUUGAUAUGAUCUGCGGUGGGAGAUACAAGAUUGAGACUCCAGAGUAUUUAAGCAAGCUGAAGAAACAGCAUUGAAGCUUGAUUUGGACAGGCAUUAAUAUGUUGUUACUUAUGCAGUGAGCCACAUCAAGUGCAGUUUUUAUUCAUUAUAA